GACGAACGCUGGCGGCGUGCUUAACACAUGCAAGUCGAACGAUGAAGCCCAGCUUGCUGGGUGGAUUAGUGGCGAACGGGUGAGUAACACGUGGGCAACCUGCCCCAAACUCUGGAAUAACUCCUCGAAAGAGGUGCUAAUACCAGAUACGAACUAGACAGACAUCUGUACUAGUUGGAAAGUUUUUCGGUUUGGGAUGGGCCCGCGGCCUAUCAGCUUGUUGGUGAGGUAACGGCUCACCAAGGCUACGACGGGUAACGGGCCUGAGAGGGGGACCGGUAACACUGGGACUGAGACACGGCCCAGACUCCUACGGGAGGCAGCAGUGGGGAAUAGUGCGCAAUGGGCGAAAGCCUGACGCAGCGACGCCGCGUGAGGGAUGAAGGUCUUCGGAUCGUAAACCUCUUUCAGGAGGGACGAAGCGAAAGUGACGGUACCUAAAGAAGAAGCACCGGCUAACUACGUGCCAGCCGCCGCCGUAA
rnacentral:rRNA from 1 species